rnacentral:rRNA from 1 species
UACGGAGGGUGCAAGCGUUAUCCGGAUUUAUUGGGUUUAAAGGGUCCGCAGGCGGACUGAUAAGUCAGGGGUGAAAUCCGGCAGCUUAACUGUCGAACUGCCUUUGAAACUGUCAGUCUUGAGUAAGAAUGAAGCAGCUGGAAUGUGUGGUGUAGCGGUGAAAUGCAUAGAUAUCACACGGAACACCGAUAGCGAAGGCAGGUUGCUAAUUCUUUACUGACGCUGAGGGACGAAAGCGUGGGGAGCGAACAGG